rnacentral:rRNA from 1 species
GCGACCCCAGGACGGGCGAGGCCACCCGCCGAGUUUAAGCAUAUCAAUAA